rnacentral:rRNA from 1 species
AAUUACUUAAAAAUUAAAAAAUUUGGCGGUGAUUUAAUCUUUCCAGAGGAACUUGUUUCUUGAUCGAUACUCCUCGCAAAAUCUUACUUAUUUUUGUUAACAGGCAGUUUGUAUACCAUCAUUAGCAGGUAACUUCAAAAGAAUAAGUUACUAAAUGUUAAUUAUUUACAAAAAUUAGAUCAUGGUGCAGCAUAUAAAUAAGUUGAAAUGAGUUACAAUAAGUUAUCUUAAACGGAGCAGUAAAGUAAGAAUUGCUGUGAAGGAGGAUUUGGUUGUAUUAUAAUGUUAAUAAGCUUAUGAGACAUAAGUUCUAAAUCAUGUACACAUCGCCC